AAAGAUACUGCUGCCUCUCCCUGGUACAUCCAUCUCCACUUCCUCGGGGCGCUGCUCGCCGGCUCAUGACCUGCUAUGGAAUUGACGUUUGCGCACACAAGUUCCCCUGUCUGGCUCUGCCGGCUCCCGUAGUUGAGCAGAGCCAGGAGAUCGAGAGAGGAAAUACUCACUUGAUUUUGCAAAUUAUGUUGGGCAUGGAGAUUGAUCUGUUAUUUUUGGUUGUCCCUAGAUUCAAGGAUGACAGCGCCCAAACCUUUCCCUGAUGUUUGGGCAAAGGCGUGUAUGUCUGAUGUGCAGCAAAGCGACGAAACAAUGGUCGAUGGUUAUGUAUCUCGCGGGACUCGACGGUUACAGUUUCGGGAGCAGCACUGUUGCUUGCUAGCAUAUUUUUUUUCUUACAUAUAUGAACUGAUGAUGCUUUAUUUGGUGUUGUUUCCCAUGGCAGUACAUUAUGGCUUUGUUGACGAUGAUUUCUGCUAAUGUGCACACAGCUGAGGAAUAGACCCGGCAAGGAAGAGAGCUACACCAAUGUAGUCGGUGGAAUUAACAAGCAAAGUAAAUCCUGAAGCUCCUGGUUGUAACAAGAGGAAGUCGAUUUGUCAGUGGAAACAUAGCUGCAAGGAAGCGAUAUCUCAACUUUGACGUUACUUAAGCUUUUGGAUUUCAGAUUUAGUUGCCAUCACCAAACUGGUAUGCAAUUGAGUUGCACUUGAGCGCACAAGCUGAUUUCUAAAUAUCGCACAGUACUAUAGUUGUGCUCCACUAAAUAGCUUAUAUUUGAGCAGUCUUGCGGAAUAGUUACAGUGAAGAAAAAGCUUGCAAGAUUGAUUUGAUUUGCUGGUUUUUUGAGUGGCGCUACCCCUAUUAGGCUAAGUAGAAGCACUAUACGACGACUAAAGUACACCAGAUUACCUUCUCUGGUUUUGUAAUUUGUUGUUUGUUAUUUUUGGAAUUAUUUUGGGUACAAGGAAAGAAGUGCCAGAGAACUGCCAUUGUUUCGUGGUAAAAUUUACUAAUGUUGGUAUUUCUUUUCAAGAUUAUAUUAUUGUUUGCCCAUUUGGUCCUUGGAUGUUCUACUGAUUUUUUUUUCUAUUCCUUGUGGAUAAUUUGCUUCGGAUCAUCAGACUACCUAGGGAAACAUGCACAUUCUUUAUC